rnacentral:rRNA from 1 species
UACGUAGGGGGCUAGCGUUGUCCGGAAUCAUUGGGCGUAAAGAGCGUGUAGGCGGCCCGGUAAGUCCGCUGUAAAAGUCAAAGGCUCAACCUUUGAAUGUCAGUGGAUACUGCCGGGCUAGAGUCCGGAAGAGGCGAGUGGAACUCCUGGUGUAGCGGUGGAAUGCGCAGAUAUCAGGAAGAACACCCGUGGCGAAGGCGAGUCUCUGGGAUGAUGCUGACGCUGAGGCGCGAAAGCCAGGGGAGCAAACGGG